rnacentral:pre_miRNA from 1 species
CUCUUUGGGCCUGAUCCAAAGCCCAGUGAAGUCAAUGGGAGUCUUUCCAUUGCUUUCAGUAGGCUUUGGAUCUGGCCCUUAAACU